CAAGAGAUGGUCCUUUGUCCACACACCAUACCAUACUGCGUAUUCCAAUUCUUUGAGAGGCUCUUUUCUUUAGUUUAUGGUCUGGCUUUAAUUCUCCUAUGGCCAAUCAACUUGUCCCUUCUUCUUCCUUCACCACUACUCCUUCAUGGACAUACGAUGUCUUUUUAAGUUUCAGAGGUGAGGAUACACGCUACAAUUUUACAGAUCAUCUAUACCAAGCCUUGGUCCGUCAUGGAAUCCACACCUUCAUUGAUCAUAGUGAACUUCCAAUAGGAGAAAAAAUAGCACCAACUCUUCUUGAAGCAAUUGAAAACUCGAGAAUUUCUGUCAUCAUAUUCUCUGAAAACUAUGCUUCUUCAAGAUGGUGCUUGGACGAGCUCGUACAUAUUCUUGAAUGUAGAAAGUCAAAGGGACAGAUGACAAGGUCAAUCUUCUACAAGGUGGAUCCAUCGGAUGUCCGACACCAAAGAAAUAGUUAUGAUGCUGCGUUUGCUGACCAUAGCCUCAAAUAUGAGAAUAACCUGGAGAAGGUGCAAGGAUGGAGGACAGCUCUUACAGAAGCAGCAGAUCUGAAGGGAGCUACUCUCAACAAGGGAGAGUAUGAAGCUGCAUUUAUUAACAACUUCAUUGCGGAGAUUUCAACCGAACUAUUAAAUCGCACAUAUUUGCAUGUGGCUAGUUACCCAGUUGGAAUAGAGUCUUGUGUAAAAAUGGUGGAAAUGCUUUUAGGUGUCGGUGGAAAUGAUCGUCGUGUAGUUGGGAUUUGGGGGACAUCUGGAAUAGGCAAGACAGCAAUUGCAAGAGCGGUUUAUAAUGCAAGUGCUCAUAAGUUUGAUGGUAGUUGUUUUCUGGCAAAUGUUAGAGAAACAUUGACAUUGAAUGAUGGCGUAAUCAAACUACAAAACACUCUUCUAUCUAAAAUUCUAUGUGGUAAAAAGUGGAAAAUUGUCGAUGUUCAUCAGGGAAUCAACCUUAUUAAGAAUCGGUUGAGGCAAAAGAAGAUUCUCUUAAUUCUUGAUGAUGUGGAUAAAUUGGGGCAGUUAAAAGACUGGGUCGAUGUCGAUUGUUUCGGUGAGGGUAGCAGAGUGAUCAUAACCACAAAAGAUAGAAAAUUGCUUAACUUUUAUGGAGGUCAGUGGAUAUAUGAAGUCCAAAAGUUAGAAGACGACAAAGCACUUGAGCUUUUUAGUUGGAAUGCCUUCAAAAGAAAUAGACCUCCAGAUGAUGAUUAUUUGAGACUCGCACAACGUGCAAUAGACCAUGCUCAGGGCCUUCCGUUGGCUCUUAAUCUAAUGGGUUCUUAUCUGCGCAAUGAAAGUAUAGGUCGUUGGCAAGAUGUAUUGAACAGUUACGAUUCUUACGGUGGAGAACCUUAUACAGAACCUUAUACAGAUAUUCAAAUAAUACUUCGAAAAACUUAUGAUGCCUGGGAUUGUAACUUGCAAAAAGUUUUCCUAGACAUUGCAUGUUUUUUUAAGGGUGAAAAUAAAGACUACGUGUUACAAAUAUUAAGAAGUUCGACGCUCAAAGUACGUCAAGAUUGUAUUGAAGUACUUGUUGAGAAAGCCAUCAUAACUAUUGAAUAUAAUCGGAUUUUGAUGCAUGACUUGUUAGAAAAAAUGGGUAAGCAUAUAGUUUACGAAGAAUCAUCCACUGAACCAGGCAAGCGGAGUAGGUUGUGGCAUCAUGAAGAUGUGCGUGAUGUUCUAAUUGAUUGCAAAGGGACAGAGAAAAUUAGAGGCAUUGUUGUGAAUCUGCCCAAACCAGAUGAGAUACCCUUGAAUCCAAAAAGCUUCUUGAAGAUGGUAAAUCUUGAAUUUUUUAUAAACUAUAAUGCACACUUUUCAGGACGGGUUGAUUAUCUGUCCAACAGUUUGAGGUUGAUUGAAUUCGGUGGACGACUCAAUAUUGAUCAAAAGCAUACGUAUGUGCUCAAUUUGCGGUCCAAUUUUCAUCCAAGACAUCUCGUUAAGUUUGAUGUGUCAUACAGUGGCAUAAGACAAUUGAAGGAAUUUAAGAAUUUGGCAAAGCUUACAUGGAUGAAUUUAAGUGGUUGCGAAUUCUUGGAAAAAAUCCCCGACUUAUCCGGAAGCCCAAACAUAAGGAAGUUGGAUCUAAGAGGCUGCACAAGUUUGGUCGAGGUUCAUGAUUCAGUUGGAUGCCUUGAUAAACUUGAAGUCUUGUAUCUUACUGGGUGCUCUAAGCUUACGGGGUUUGCAAAAAGACUUGGAUUGAGGUCCCUACGUUUUCUUAAUCUCAAUGGUUGUAGAAGUCUCAAGAGUUUCCCAGAAAUAGAGGGCAAGAUGGAAUCCCUACGCUAUUUGGAUAUGGAAGAAAGUGGCAUAAGAGAAUUGCCAUCAAUUGCUUAUUUUACUAACCUUGAGCGUUUGAACGCAAGUGGUAGUGAGUUGCAAAAUAUCCAACUCCUCCCUUUUGGAAAGAAGGUGAAGUUCGAUGAAGUUUCAUCCUGCAGUACCGAUGUACAUCUGUAUCUUGAUCUUUCAGGAUGCAAUUUAUCAGAAAGUGAUUUCCUUGUGCCUCUUGUUUGCUGGUCCGCAUUAGAAGAACUUGAUCUGUCGAGAAACAAUUUUGUUAGCCUUCCGGAUUGUAUUAGCAAAGUUGUCAACUUGGAGUUACUUUGCUUGUGGGAUUGCAAGAGGCUUCGGGAAAUUCCAGUCCUUCCACCAAAACUAGAAGAGUUACAUCUGCCGGAUUGCACGUCAUUGGAGAAAAUUCCAAAACUGCCGCCGAGGCUUCAGUUUCUUAACUUGUAUAACUGCUCUGGACUAAGUGGCGAUGAGGUGGCAAAGUUCGAAAACAACUUGUUGAAUGAGGAAAUUCGUCCGUGCUAUGACUUCCGCACUAUUUACCCAGGCAAUGAAGUUCCAAAAUGGUGCAGCUAUACAUCUAACCAUCCCACAACCUUUCAACCUCUACCAGAAUAUGAAUCGGAUGAAGAUGACUGGGACAAAACAUUUGCUGGAGGCAAUGAAUUUCGUUUUGAAUUUCCUCUAAAAUUACAAGUGGGGGAGAUGUUAGUAGGAUUGGCUCUAUGUUUUGUUGUUGAACCAUCGACUAAGCUUGAUUGUGGUAUUUACCCGUCUAUUAUCAUCAACGGAAAAAAAUUGCUUCGUUAUGAUAUUCGUCCAUGGCAUGGCCCACUAAUGAACGAAGUUAAUUUAUGGUAUGAUGAGGACAUAUGGGCAACUCAUGUGAGGCUUGCGUUAAUGUCUUUAUGGGACUUUGCCCUGAAACCGGGGGUACAUAUUUGUCAAUUUGUAUUUCGAUUCCAGAAUGGGUGUCCCGUUAAAAGCUGCGGCGUGCACUGCCUAUUGAGACCAACGAGCAGUCUUGGGAUGAGGCCUCAUCCACGUGGAUCCUCAGAUAUUGUCGAUGAUGAAUAUGAUCAGGAACUGCAAUGGAUCAAGUUAGUUUCUGGUAUUGAGGAGGAUGAGGAGCAAGAGCAACCGUCCGACUGAGAUGAUCAUCCAAAACGCUGGCAGAUUGAUCUCAAUGUUCCCUUUGAUAUUGAGGAUGAGGAGCAGCUUCACUUGUCUCUGAGACCAACGACCAGCCUUAGGAAGAGGCCUCGCCCACGUGGAUCCUCAGAUAUUGUCGAUGAUGAAUAUGAUCAGCAACAACAAUGGCUUUCCUCAUCUUCGGAGCCAGCAGAAGAUCAUCCAAAACGUAGGCAGAUUGAUCCCAAUGUUCCUAUUGAUCUUGAGGAGGAUGAAGAGCAGCUUCACUUGUCUCUGAGACCAACGAGCAGUCUUGGGAUAAGGCCUCGUCCAUGUGGAUCCUGAGAUAUUGUCAAUGAUAAAUAUGAUCAGCAACAACAAUGACUUUCCUCAUCUUUGGAGCCAGCAGAUGAUCGUCCAAAACGCUGGCAGAUUGAUCCCAAUGUUCCUUUUGAUACUGAGGAGGAUGAGGAGCAAGAGCAACCGUCCGAUUCAGAUGAUUCGCAUUUCUGAUUAAUUAGGAGUUUGGGGGUUAGAGAAUGCCUCGUUCGGACGAUCAACAUGGGUUAUCAAAAUCUUAUUCAGGAGAGCGAUUUUCUCCGGAUUGUCUUAGCUUUAUAAGGCCAAUCCCUCAACCUCUUGCCAGUUGGCCCUAUUGUUGAGGAUGCAAAGGCAUUGCUAGACCAGAUCACUAGAGUUGUCAUCACCCAUAUAUGCCGCCAAGCGAAUGAAGCAGCGCACUGUCUAGCCCGCUCGACACUUCUUUGUAAUGGUUUUUUUUUCUUGGUCUGAAAAACCUCCUGAUCUCUCUUUUGUGUAUAUCUCUUCGUCCAUUUGGUCUUUCAAUAAAACACUGCUGAUUUUCAAAAAUAAAUAAAUAAAUAAAUAAGAAGGUGAACCCUUUCUGUGUGCCUUUCACAACCACAAAUAUGGGUUCUGCCGUGCUCGCCAUGGAUCCUGCGAGAUUAUAAGAUAUAUGUAUUCGAUGCAAUACUCUUACAAUUCGUGAUGGCUGCUGAUUUUGUACUUGUCCUUUUAACUGAUAUCUACUCUUACACUUGCAGGGUUGGAUGGUCCCAAACUAUUCAACCUCUACUGCUUGUGCUACAAGCAGCUUCCGUACUUUGAAUUCGGCAAAUCAUUUCAUUAAAGCCAAUGCAAACCAUGGUGGCCUUGUUAUGGGGGAUGGAGCUGGCGUUUUGCCUCUAGAAGAGUUAGAACAUGCUAAGGGGCCGGGGUUAUUCUUUGCAUUGAAAAGGCUUUAGAACAGUCUGGGGUGUCUAGGGAAGAUGUUAAUUACAUUAAUGCACAUGCUACAUCCGCGCCGGCCGGAGAUCUCAAGGAAUAUAAUGCUCUGAUUCAUUGUUUUGGCCAGAAUCCUGAGUUGAGAGUGAACUCUACAAAGCCCAUGAUUGGUCACCUACUGGGAGCAUGUGGUGCUGUAGAAGCUGUUGCAGCACUACAGGUAACUUACGUGAUGUUUUCAACUUGGAAAAACUGUACAGUUUUUAGACCUUAUAUACGCAAGGACCAAGUACAAUUCUUGUUUGUUUGGCUUGAAGUGUAGUUCUUGACAUGUUAUCUUCUUUUUGGGUAGACGAUACGAACUGGGCGUGGUAUGUUGUCUUCGACUCCCCUUGUCGCACUUUGACAAGUAUAUAAUGUCCAAUGAAAGUAUAUUUGGAAUC